rnacentral:rRNA from 1 species
GGAGUUUGGACCGUGUCUCAGUUCCAAUGUGGCUGGUCGUCCUCUCAGACCAGCUACUGAUCGUAGGCUUGGUGGGCCGUUACCCCGCCAACAACCUAAUCAGACGCAUCCCCAUCCUAUAGCGGUGAACCUUUGUUCCAACUUAGAUGUCUGCAUUGGAAAACAUAGAGUAUUAAUCCGACUUUCGCCGGGCUAUCCUCUACUAUAGGGAAGGUUGGAUACGCGUUACUCACCCGUGCGCCGGUCGCCAUCAAUCAAAGCAAGCUUCGAUCAUGCUGCCCCUCGACUUGCAUGUGUUAAGCCUGUAGCUAGCGUUCAUC